rnacentral:misc_RNA from 1 species
GUGGUCUUUCGAUCGGGUCGGCCGCGUGGCUGUGCGCCCAUCCAUCGAGAUGUAAUCAAGCAAUGUCGCGCGAGGUGGUAUAGUUCCCAGAGGCCGGUUCUUGUGCUAGCUACCCCUUCAGGGGAAGCAGGCUACUUGAUCUAAGCCUCUAUCCCGCGCCUUCCAAUGGGCGCAUGAGGACAAUGGAGCACCCCCCGCGUUCCACCAAGCCUUUGUCAGUCGCUUGGCGCACGGGGACGUGAGAUGCUCUCUGACCCAGCGAACACCGUGGCCAAGGACUCGCGUCCCAGUCCCAAAAGAAGCUUCAAUAUAAUGCUGACGGCCGCUCCCACCCCCGACGGCGCGAGGCGAGGCGCGGCGUCGCAGAAGAAUGCUACCU